AACGAACGCUGGCGGCAUGCCUAACACAUGCAAGUCGAACGAGACCUCCGGGUCUAGUGGCGCACGGGUGCGUACCGAGUGGUAACCUGCCCUUAGGUUCGGUAUCACUCCCCUAAAGGGGUGUUAAUAACGGAUAAUGUCUUCGGACCAAAGAUGUAUCGCCUUUGGAUGGGCCCGCGUUGGAUUCGCUGGUUGGUAGGGUAAAAGCCUAUCAAGGCGUCGAUCCAUAGCUGGUCGGAGAGGAUGAUAAUCCGCACUGGGACUGAGACACGGCCCAGACCCCGACGGAAGGGAGCAGUAUGUAAUAUUGGACGAGGAGCGAUGGCGUGAUCAAGCAAUGCGGGGUAAGAGAUGAAGGCCUUAGUGUUACAAAGCUCUUUUACACGGGAUGAUAAUGACAGUACCGGGAGAAUAAGCACCGGCUAACUCCGUG
rnacentral:rRNA from 1 species